rnacentral:rRNA from 1 species
UACAGAGGUCCCAAGCGUUGUUCGGAUUCACUGGGCGUAAAGGGUGCGUAGGUGGUGAGGUAAGUUUGAUGUGAAAUCUCCGAGCCUAACUCGGAAAAUGCAUUGAAUACUACUUUGCUAGAGGAUUGGAGGGGAGUCUGGAAUUCUUGGUGUAGCAGUGAAAUGCGUAGAUAUCAAGAGGAACACCAGUGGCGAAAGCGAGACUCUGGACAAUUCCUGACACUGAGGCACGAAAGCUAGGGGAGCAAACAGG